rnacentral:rRNA from 1 species
CAGUAGCCGCGGGAAUACGUAGGUGGCAAGCGUUGUCCGGAAUUAUUGGGCGUAAAGGGCUCGCAGGCGGUUUCUUAAGUCUGAUGUGAAAGCCCCCGGCUCAACCGGGGAGGGUCAUUGGAAACUGGGAAACUUGAGUGCAGAAGAGGAGAGUGGAAUUCCACGUGUAGCGGUGAAAUGCGUAGAGAUGUGGAGGAACACCAGUGGCGAAGGCGACUCUCUGGUCUGUAACUGACGCUGAGGAGCGAAAGCGUGGGGAGCGAACAGGAUUAGAUACCCCAGUAGUCCCUGUCUCUUAUAA